CCCCCAGGGCAGCCCGCUGGGCACCCGCGUCUGCUCCGGGCCGUGCAUUACUCUGACCGCUGAUGGGAAGAGCCUCUCCCGCGGCUGCUGUCUUGCUGUGGAUGCCUGGACUCAAGGUUAACUGAUGUGUUUCCAGCCCAGGAACAAGCAAGGCCCUACAUUUCCCACCCAAGCUCCGAGUUCCUGCCUCUUCAGAACUCCUGGGCUCAUGUUCAGCCCAAGUUUCAGAGCAGUUCUUCCCUGUCUGCCCCCAC